rnacentral:rRNA from 1 species
CCUGGUGGCCAUAGAGCGUUGGAACCACCUGAUCCCAUUCCGAACUCAGAAGUGAAACAGCGCAUCGCCGAUGAUAGUGUGGGGUUUCCCCAUGCGAAAGUAGGUCACCGCCAGGC